GGUUGGAUGGCCGAGCGGUCUAAGGCGCCAGACUAAGGAUCCGUUUCAAUUGAAACACAAUUUGUAGACUUCGCAGUUUGCAAUCUGGUCCUCCGGGGCGUGGGUUCGAAUCCCACUCCAAUCA